rnacentral:lncRNA from 1 species
GGUGAUCAUUCCAAUGACCCCCGAAAUCUAUAACACAAGCUAGAAAUAUAUCUUGUAGGGUAUAAAUUGUCCUAUCUGAUUGUUCAUCGGUUUUAAGGUGGAAUACGGUGCUAGGGGACAAUUUCGUCCCCAUGGCUAGCUGAAAACUAGAUUAAAAUCGGAAAGUGAAUCUGGGGUCUUUGUUGGAUACUACUGUCACUAGAACUCCAUAUAAUCU